rnacentral:lncRNA from 1 species
GACAGUGUAAAAUAAAACAAUCAGUCAAAACAGAAAAUUAACAAAGCCCGUAUACGUUACUUACACGCCAGAGGAACGCUAAGCAAGCGUUAAACGCGCGUUGCAUAAGUUUGAAGUACGUCGAAAUGCAAAGGUAUACGCUUGGUGAACGCUUUUACUCAAGGAAAUUUUUAUGGAGCAUUAAAAUUUUCAUUCAGCUCAAUCAUGUGUCAAGCGUAUACCUGUACGCUACAUGCACAUAAUAUACACGCUACAAGGGCGUUGAAAACGCUACAGAUAAGUUUGAGACACGUUAAGGGCACGUUGUAUACGCUUCAAAAUCGUU